CAAAGGCUUGGUCCUGACUUUACUAUCAACUUUAGCUAAACUUACACAUGCAAGUAUCCGCACCCCUGUGAGAAUGCCCUACAGUUCCCCGCCCGGGAACGAGGAGCCGGUAUCAGGCACACACAACCAGCCCAUGACACCUUGCUUAGCCACACCCUCAAGGGAACUCAGCAGUGAUAGACAUUAAGCCAUAAGUGAAAACUUGACUUAGUCAAAGCUAACAGGGCCGGUAAAACUCGUGCCAGCCACCGCGGUUAUACGAGAGGCCCAAGUUGACAGUCACCGGCGUAAAGAGUGGUUAAAGAAUGAUUAAAACUAAAGCCGAACACCUUCAAGGCAGUUAUACGCACCCGAAGGUUAGAAGCCCAACUACGAAAGUGGCUUUAUCUUUCCUGAACCCACGAGAGCUACGGCACAAACUGGGAUUAGAUACCCCACUAUG
rnacentral:rRNA from 1 species